UUCGAAAAUAGCAUGGUCCUAAACAUUGAGGGUCCUAAAGCUCUUAUUUUGAGAGAUAAUCUCCGCCCCUCUCCGCCUCCUAAAGGAAAAGCCCGAUUCGUAACAACAAUAACAACGACAAAAACGUGACAGACAAGUAGAGAGCCACCACAACCAAGACUGCGUCGGGAUACAGGAAGGGAGAGGAAGUGCGCAUGCGCCGCAU
rnacentral:rRNA from 1 species